rnacentral:rRNA from 1 species
UACGUAGGGUGCGAGCGUUGUCCGGAAUUAUUGGGCGUAAAGAGCUCGUAGGCGGUUUGUUGCGUCGGCUGUGAAAACUUCACGCUUAACGUGGAGCCUGCAGUCGAUACGGGCAGACUUGAGUUCGGCAGGGGAGACUGGAAUUCCUGGUGUAGCGGUGAAAUGCGCAGAUAUCUGGAGGAACACCGAUGGCGAAGGCAGCCCCCUGGGCUGAGAUUGACGCUCAGGCACGAAAGCGUGGG